AUGAGCCUCCGGCGGCACGUGCAUCUGCUGUUAGUAAACCAAAUAAGAUGCGCGCACCAGCUUCGGCUCCUCAAGCGCGACCAUUUGUUCUACCCAACAGAAGAAGCAGCAGCAAAGACGCGAGCUCUGCCCAGCCUAAGAAAAGUGCCGCCAGACUCGCCUUUCGGGACCAUCCCAAAAAGGAAGAAGAAGCAGGCGGCUCCCUCAGACCAGCUGCGGAGUGUUAAGCUGCCGCCGCCGGUCUUCAGCGUGCAGCCAUCGCCAUGCCCGACGGCUUGCAACGGCGAAGCCCGGGUGCAGUGCUUCCCUCUCUCUGGAAGCAUGGUCUUCUUCACCGACAGCGGGGCACGCACCGCCUUUUUCGACACCGAGGCCCGCUGCAUGGUAACCGCGCCCAACCUCCAUUCGCCCAAGUGCCACCCCAUGGCGCUCUCUGUCCCAAGCCCUGGGCCUGGAGGCGAGCAGGACGGCGGCGACCACAGCCUCUACAUCAUGGACACCCAGCUCGAUCCAUACAAGCCCUCUCCGUUCGAGGCCCUAAUCUACCGCAAGCACCCAGAUAGCCACGAUGAUGUCACGAAGACAUGGCACCGUGACACGCUCCCGCUGCCUCCAUUCCUUAAUGACUGGCCACAUCGCCACUGUAUCUCGAUAUCAUCCUAUUCCGUGGUGGGGGACGUCAUCUGCGUCUCCGCAGAUGGCUUGGGCACCUACUGCUUCGACACGGCGAGCCGGGCGUGGAGCCGGGCUGGUGACUGGCAGAUGCCCUUCUGCGGCAAGGCUGAGUACGUCCCUGAGCUCAAGCUCUGGUUUGGCCUCUCUACUGAAUAUCCCCAGCGCCCGUGCGCGGCUGAUCUCUCAUCUGUCCUCAGAGGGCAUGAGCCGAAGCGGCGCUAUGUUUGGGGGGAUCCACACCUGCCGAAGGAAUGGCUGUCGUCGUUCGAUGGUCCCACCAGCAUUGUCCACUUGGGUUCCGGUAGGUUUUGCAUCACCAACUACUUUGAAGACAUGAACAACUCUAUGAUGGAUAGACAAACAGGUCCAGUUGGCGAGACAAUUGUUGUUUUCACUGGUUUGGAAGUGUUGUCCGGCAAAGGAAGCGGCAAGGGCAACGGGAUCCGUAUGAUUAAGCACAAAUCAUGUACAAUUUCUAGCACCAACGAAAUCGAGACAAUGUUGGUACUCUAA
rnacentral:rRNA from 1 species